rnacentral:rRNA from 1 species
GAGAGUUUGAUCCUGGCUCAGAUUGAACGCUGGCAGCAGGCCUAACACAUGCAAGUCGAGCGGAUGAAGGGAGCUUGCUCCUGGAUUCAGCGGCGGACGGGUGAGUAAUGCCUAGGAAUCUGCCUGGUAGUGGGGGAUAACGUCCGGAAACGGGCGCUAAUACCGCAUACGUCCUGAGGGAGAAAGUGGGGGAUCUUCGGACCUCACGCUAUCAGAUGAGCCUAGGUCGGAUUAGCUAGUUGGUGGGGUAAAGGCCUACCAAGGCGACGAUCAGUAACUGGUCUGAGAGGAUGAUCAGUCACACUGGAACUGAGACACGGUCCAGACUCCUACGGGAGGCAGCAGUGGGGAAUAUUGGACAAUGGGCGAAAGCCUGAUCCAGCCAUGCCGCGUGUGUGAAGAAGGUCUUCGGAUUGUAAAGCACUUUAAGUUGGGAGGAAGGGCAGUAAGUUAAUACCUUACUGUUUUGACGUUACCAACAGAAUAAGCACCGGCUAACUUCGUGCCAGCAGCCGCGGUAAUACGAAGGGUGCAAGCGUUAAUCGGAAUUACUGGGCGUAAAGCGCGCGUAGGUGGUUCAGCAAGUUGGAUGUGAAAUCCCCGGGCUCAACCUGGGAACUGCAUCCAAAACUACUGAGCUAGAGUACGGUAGAGGGUGGUGGAAUUUCCUGUGUAGCGGUGAAAUGCGUAGAUAUAGGAAGGAACACCAGUGGCGAAGGCGACCACCUGGACUGAUACUGACACUGAGGUGCGAAAGCGUGGGGAGCAAACAGGAUUAGAUACCCUGGUAGUCCACGCCGUAAACGAUGUCGACUAGCCGUUGGGAUCCUUGAGAUCUUAGUGGCGCAGCUAACGCGAUAAGUCGACCGCCUGGGGAGUACGGCCG